rnacentral:rRNA from 1 species
GACGAACGCUGGCGGCGUGCUUAACACAUGCAAGUCGAACGGUAAGGCCCUUCGGGGUACACGAGUGGCGAACGGGUGAGUAACACGUGGGUGAUCUACCCUGCACUUCGGGAUAAGCCUGGGAAACUGGGUCUAAUACCGGAUAGGACCAUGGACUUCACGGUUUGUGGUGGAAAGCUUUUGCGGUGUGGGAUGGGCCCGCGGCCUAUCAGCUUGUUGGUGGGGUAAUGGCCUACCAAGGCGACGACGGGUAGCCGGCCUGAGAGGGUGUCCGGCCACACUGGGACUGAGAUACGGCCCAGACUCCUACGGGAGGCAGCAGUGGGAAUAUUGCACAAUGGGCGCAAGCCUGAUGCAGCGACGCCGCGUGAGGGAUGACGGCCUUCGGGUGUAACUCUUCAUAGGACGAAGCGC